rnacentral:rRNA from 1 species
AGUAACACGUGAGCAACCUGCCCCUGACUCCGGGAUAAGCGGUGGAAACGCCGUCUAAUACCGGAUACGACCCGCCACCUCAUGGUGGAGGGUGGAAAGUUUUAUCGGUCAGGGAUGGGCUCGCGGCCUAUCAGCUUGUUGGUGGGGUAAAGGCCUACCAAGGCGAUUACGGGUAGCCGGCCUGAGAGGGCGACCGGCCACACUGGGACUGAGACACGGCCCAGACUCCUGCGGGAGGCAGCAGUGGGGAAUAUUGCACAAUGGGCGAAAGCCUGAUGCAGCGACGCCGCGUGGGGGAUGAAGGCCUUCGGGUUGUAAACCUCUUUUACCACCAACGCAGGCUCCACGUUCUCGUGGGGUUGACGGUAGGUGGGGAAUAAGGACCGGCUAACUACGUGCCAGCAGCCGCGGUAA